CGUUUUUGGGGGGGAGAGGAGGCUUAUCUGCAACAGGGCAGUUGAAGGUCAGACAGUGUGAAGGACUUCUCAGCUUUCUGUUUACCUGGAGCAGAAGAGGAGUGCGUUUGGAGAGAAGCAGAGGGUCUGCCCUCCUAUCAACAGCACAGGAGAUGAGGAGAGAGGGAUUCAAAAACCACAGCCUGGACCCCACGGGAUAUCAAGCCAGCCCAGAGCUUCUGGACACCAGCAAGUGAAAGUGUCCAGUGUCAUGGGAAUCAGCUUAGGCUCACCUGCUGGAGGACGAGAGACUGCACCACGGAGACCUAAGUCACCCAGCUGAUAGCCCGCCUCCUCCCAGAGACAGAGCUGCGUCCCCGAGCACAGCUGACGGCAUAUGCAUGGAUGAGCUCAUCCAAGACCAAAAGACCCAUCCAGCCGACCCAUAGACCUGUGAGCAACAACAGAGAGAGAGAGCACAAGCAGGGGGAGCCACAGGCAGAGAGAGAAGCAGGCUCCCCACCGAGCAAGGAGCCCGAUGCAGGACUCGAUCCCAGGACCUCAGGAUCAUGACCUGAGCUGAAGGCAGACGCUUCACCAACUGAGCCACCCAGGCGCCCAUGUAAGUAACUUUUAACCCC
rnacentral:lncRNA from 1 species